AAGUCCAGCAAUGGACAAAGAGAUACCUUGUUGGUAGUGUUGUUCUUUUGUCAGUCAGGGGUGGAGUAGAUGGCAGUCCUUUGUUGUUCCUAGCUUGAUGCUUGGCUUGAUAGCCAAAGCUGUCUGAUACCUAGGACUCAUAA